rnacentral:rRNA from 1 species
GGGCAACCCUGAUCCAGCCAUGCCGCGUGCGGGAAGAAGGCCUUCGGGUUGUAAACCGCUUUUAGCUGGGAAGAAAAGGUUCAUCCUAAUACGGUGGAUUCUUGACGGUACCGGCGGAAUAAGCACCGGCUAACUACGUGCCAGCAGCCGCGGUAAUACGUAGGGUGCGAGCGUUAAUCGGAAUUACUGGGCGUAAAGCGUGCGUAGGCGGUUCGUUGUGUUUGUCGUGAAAGCCCCGGGCUCAACCUGGGAAUGGCGAUGAAAACUGGCGAGCUGGAGUGUGGCAGAGGGGGGUGGAAUUCCACGUGUAGCAGUGAAAUGCGUAGAGAUGUGGAGGAACACCGAUGGCGAAGGCAGCCCCCUGGGCUGACACUGACGCUGAGGCACGAAAGCGUGGGGAGCAAACAGGAUUAGAUACCCUGGUAGUCCACGCCCUAAACGAUGGCAACUGGGUGUUGGGGGAGCGAUUCCUCAGUACCGUAGCUAACGCGUGAAGUUGCCCGCCUG